GGCGGCCUUUUAGCCAUUGUUUCGUUUGAUUUGAUUUCAAGUUGUCCCGUGUCUAAAAAAUGGUCAAAUCGACGGCAUUUUGGUUAGAUCGACGCGUUGGCGUGUGAGUGGCAAAUUGAAUGUUUGUGUUGGCUGGCUCCCUGCUUGCGCAGCGAACGGUUGCCGCAUACAUAAUUCAGUCGGAUCGGUGAUGUGUUUGUCGGAUUUUUGUGUUGCCAACCCGAAUGAUGGAAUUCUUAUG
rnacentral:misc_RNA from 1 species